rnacentral:rRNA from 1 species
GAUGAACGCUAGCGGCAGGCUUAAUACAUGCAAGUCGAGGGACAGCACAGGUAGCAAUACUGGGUGGUAACCGGCAAACGGGUGCGGAACACGUACACAACCUUCCUUUAAGUGGGGGAUAGCCCAGAGAAAUUUGGAUUAAUACCCCGUAAUAUAGUUGAAUGGCAUCAUUUGAUUAUUAUAGCUACGGCGCUUAAUGAUGGGUGUGCGGCUGAUUAGAUAGUUGGCGGGGUAACGGCCCACCAAGUCCACGAUCAGUAGCUGAUGUGAGAGCAAGAUCAGCCACACGGGCACUGAGACACGGGCCCGACUCCUACGGGAGGCAGCAGUAAGGAAUAUUGGUCAAUGGACGCAAGUCUGAACCAGCCAUGCCGCGUGAAGGAUUAAGGUCCUCUGGAUUGUAAACUUCUUUUAUUUGGGACGAAAAAGGGUCUUUCUAGACCAACUGACGGUACCAGAUGAAUAAGCACCGGCUAACUCCGUGCCAGCCGCCGCCGUAACAC